rnacentral:lncRNA from 1 species
GGCCACCCUUGGCCCCCUCUCCCGCCCCUCUACAAGCACAAGCCACUCCCACCACCCGUUCCCGUCUACACACCUACGCCAAAACCACCCGUGGUCAAGCCCCCCGUAUACACGCCUAAGCCUAAACCACCCGUGGUCAAGCCCCCGGUCUACACACCUAAGCCUAAACCACCCGUGGUCAAGCCCCCGGUCUACACACCUAAGCCCCCUGUCUACACACCAAAGCCAAAGCCACCCGUGGUCAAGCCCCCGGUCUACACACCUAAGCCCCCCGUGUACACACCAAAGCCAAAGCCACCCGUGGUCAAGCCCCCCGUCUACACACCUAAGCCCCCCGUCUACACGCCAAAGCCAAAGCCACCGGUGGUCAAGCCCCCGGUGUACACGCCUAAGCCAAAACCACCGGUGGUGAAGCCCUGCCCGCCAAUCGUGAAGAAGCCACUCCCGCCACCGGUGCCCGUGUACAAGCCCCCAUUGCCACCACCAAUCAAGAAGAAGCCCUGCCCGC